AGAGUUUGAUCAUGGCUCAGGACGAACGCUGGCGGCGCGCCUUACGCAUGCAAGUCGAACGGGUCCCGGUUUCGGCCGGGGCGAGUGGCAGACGGGUGAGUAACUCGUAAGCGACCUGCCCACCGGUGGGGAAUAACUCUCCGAAAGGAGAGCUAAUACCGCAUACGAUCUCCGGGCGACCGGAGAGGAAAGCCUAGAGAUAGGCGCUGGUGGAGGGGCUUGCGGCCCAUCAGCUAGUUGGCGAGGUAACGGCUCACCAAGGCGACGACGGGUAGCUGGUCUGAGAGGACGGCCAGCCACAAGGGCACUGAGACACGGGCCCUACUCCUACGGGAGGCAGCAGCGAGGAAUCUUGGUCAAUGGGGGCAACCCUGAACCAGCGACGCCGCGUGGGGGACGAAGGCCCUUGGGUCGUAAACCCCUUUUGCCGGGGACGAUAAUGACGGUACCCGGCGAAUAAGCCACGGCUAACUACGUGCCAGCAGCCGCGGUAAUACGUAGGUGGCGAGCGUUGUCCGGAUUUACUGGGCGUAAAGCGCGCGUAGGCGGCCGGAACAGUCCCCCGUGAAAGGGUGCGGCCCAACCGCACCAGUGCGGGAGAUACUCUCCGGCUUGAGGGCAGCAGAGGUUGGUGGAAUUCCCGGUGGAGUGGUGAAAUGCGUAGAUAUCGGGAGGAACACCAGAGGCGAAGGCGGCCAACUGGGCUGUCCCUGACGCUGAGGCGCGAAAGCGUGGGGAGCGAACCGGAUUAGAUACCCGGGUAGUCCACGCCCUAAACGGUGGCAACUAGGUGUGGGGGGGUAUCGACCCCCUCCGUGCCGCAGCUAACGCGUUAAGUUGCCCGCCUGGGAACUACGGCCGCAAGGUUAAAACUCAAAGGAAUUGACGG
rnacentral:rRNA from 1 species